rnacentral:rRNA from 1 species
AACGAACGCUGGCGGCGUGCCUAACACAUGCAAGUCGCACGAGAAAUCCUGGGCAACUGGGAGAGUAAAGUGGCGCACGGGUGAGUAACGCGUGGGUAACCUACCCUUGAAUUAGGGAUAACUCCGCGAAAGCGGGGUUAAUACCAAAUAAUAUUUCAAUGACUUUGGGCAUUGGAAUCAAAGAUGGCCUCUGCAUGCAAGCUAUCGUUUAAGGAUGGGCCCGCGUACCAUUAGCUUGUUGGUGGGGUAAUGGCCUACCAAGGCAACGAUGGUUAGCUGGUCUAAGAGGAUGGUCAGCCACACUGGAACUGAGACACGGUCCAGACUCCUACGGGUGGCAG